AGAGAAGGAGCUCCUGGAGCAAAGAUAUGAGAACCGCAGUUGGUUUGCACACACCAAUUCUCCUGGCCCUGCUCAAGCAAGUAUUCAGUGAAGCUAUAUGGACAAGUGAGGAUUCAAGGGUUCCCACCAGACACAGAUGUGAGGCCCUGCAUCCUACCAUGGAGAUAAUUAAAGAAUGAGACACACAGCCAGACCAGCGUUCCACCAACAGGGAUUUGGGGAGUGCGGGAAAAGACAUGAUCCCUAGUAAGCUCCUUGCCAGGAGAGAAUGCACAGGAGAGGGAGGCUCCCUCCUCAACAGAGCUGGAGAAUCUAUUUCAGCACCAAAGAAACAAUCCCCCUUAACAUCUCCCAGUGUGUUGUCAAAACUGACCUGUGUGAAAUUUAAGAAGAGAAUGGAUAUAAAUCAAAGGGGAAAAAGUAAUAAAAAACUCCCGGCAGACUUGAUGACAUGUUGAUAAUGUUCUCGUCCUGGAGUCAGGGUGACACCAGCCCGAAGAUGAUAUAUAGAACUAAGCCCACAUACCAACGAUUUACUGGCCGAACGACAGUUUUCAUUGAUCAGAGGCCAACAAUUACUGGAUCCCAUCCCGCUGCCUAUUUCAGUAUCAGGCUCUGGCUUACAAUCAAAACACUAGCCCUGCUUCUCUACAGUU